GCACUGUAAUAGGUUUAGUUUCAAGCCUGAGCUGAGGUUUUGGUGGCUGUUUCUAGCCUGAGUUUUGCCUUUGCCUUAUGGCUGUCUUUUGUUUGGACCCUUAAGAGCACUGUGAACUGUAAAUGUAAGAUUUUCGCUGCAUGCACGUUCUUCGUUUUGUAAGUUUGACUUGAGACCUCAUACCUCCGUAGAAUUUCUAUGGUUCUCCAAAAUAAUCGAGAAUCAUCUUUUUUUAUU
rnacentral:lncRNA from 1 species